rnacentral:piRNA from 1 species
AAGGACGAAAAGCACUUCCCUGCAAAUGG